GUGAUGAAGGUCUGUAAGAAUAAUGAUUAGGAGUCUCUGGGGUCAGCAAUGGAGGUUCCUUAGGUUUAGUGAUAGGGAUUAUACAGGGAUUGACGGAGGAAUCUCUGGUGUCAUGAUGCAGCUCUCUGGGGUUAGGGAUAUGAGGUGGGAUCAGGAAUGUGGCUAUGUGGGGGUUAGUGAUAUCGAUCCAAGGGGGCUUGGUGGAGGUCAAAAUGGUCUGUGAAGUUUGGGAACUGUGGGUCAUGGAUAGAAGGUCUGUGGAGCUACUCAGAGAGCAUGAAAACACAUAAGGUGAAAACUGAUAGAACUGCAAGGAGAAACAGAGGUUAGACUACAUGGAGGAUCAUCUAUCUCACAGUCCAAUUCUCAAGAGCUGUGGUCUGUCUCACUGCCACAAGAAUGCCUGGAGGCUGGGGGCAAGUAAAUGGAGAAACAAUACAUGGUGGCAUACCCAUGUCAAAUUCUGACUAGAAAAGAAAAAAGAAAAAAAAAAAAUACAUGGUGGCAUUGAUCUCCCUCUCUCCCUGAGCAUUAUUGCCAGAGCCAGAGGGUUGCUUCUAGAAUUCCCGUUGCUGGUGCUGAUGUCUGCCUCUGAGUUUUCAGCUACACUGAGUGUAGAUCAGAUGAUACCAGGAGGAGAAAAACUAGUAAAUUUACUGCCUGUUUGGUGGUAGUUUGAAAUCUAAUAUUUUUUUCUAUCCACUUGCUAUUAUUUACUUUUCAGAUUUCUCAAAUAGGUGCUCCAUACAUUCUGUCCUUGUCUUACACCUGCAUUCAGUGCGAUAGACAGGAUAAUUAUGCUUACUCCAUCUUUCUCUAAACUGGAAUCAAUUUUGCCUAGUUUUAUAUAAAUAAAAACAAUACAGUAUGCAUUCUUUUGCAUCCGGCUUCUUUCACAACAUUUGUUUGUGAGAUUCAUUUGUGUUAGUGAGUGCACCUGUGAAUCCUUGGUAUAAUCCCCUCAUGUUGAGUGCUGUUGGGAUAAACUUUGUUUUAAUCAAGAAAAUAUGACAAAGGUCAUAGGAUGUCAACAGUGUUGCAUUAUGUGGCAACAGUGAAGAAAUUUUCAAAACAUAAUUCAAGUUCCUAUUCAGUAGAUUAUAUUUUAUACAAAAGGGAUUAUCUCCUGGAAUACCACUAGGAGGACUUGAUUUACUUAUAGUCUAGAGAUACCUAGAGAUAGUCACCUGAACAAAUCAGGUGAGUCCCUUUAAAGGGGUUCUAGAUGGCAGAAACUAAAAACAGUAGACACACUCUUAUGUUGCUGGCAUUGACAAUGUAAGCUGCCAAAAUACAUCCACAAAAAAAUUAAUUCUGCCAAUAAUCUGACACAGAUCGGAAGCAGAUCCUUUGAUACUUUAGCCUAUAGAUAAGAACGCAGUGUGAAUGACAUCCUGAUUUCAGUCUUAGGAGAUCCUGAGGGGAAUCCCAGGCUAAGCCAUGUCCACAUUUACACCUAACAGAAACUGUGAGGUAAUAUAUCCAUGUUGUUUAAUCUACUGACUUAGUGCCAAGAAUCAAAAGCUAUUACAAUUUGUAAACUAUUGCUUUUCCUUGUAGAGAAUAUUCCAUUAAAUAAGCAUACCAUAAUUUGUUUUUCCUUUUUUCUAUUCAGGCAGAUUUGGAUGUUUUCCCCUAACAUUACUUAAAAUCUAACUCCUAUGAAUAAUUUUUGACAUUUGUCUUCAUGGGCAUGAAUUUUGUUGU